UUACCCCGUUGAACUUAAGCAUAUCAAUAAGCGGGAGGAAAAGAAACCAACAGGGAUUGCCCCUAGUAACGGCGAGUGAAGCGGCAACAGCUCAAAUUUGAAAUCUGGCGUCUUUGGCGUCCGAGUUGUAAUUUGCAGAGGGCGCUUUGGCAUUGGCAGCGGUCCAAGUUCCUUGGAACAGGACGUCACAGAGGGUGAGAAUCCCGUACGUGGUCGCUAGCCUUUACCGUGUAAAGCCCCUUCGACGAGUCGAGUUGUUUGGGAAUGCAGCUCUAAAUGGGAGGUAAAUUUCUUCUAAAGCUAAAUACUGGCCAGAGACCGAUAGCGCACAAGUAGAGUGAUCGAAAGAUGAAAAGCACUUUGGAAAGAGAGUUAAAAAGCACGUGAAAUUGUUGAAAGGGAAGCGCUUGCAGCCAGACUUGCCUGUAGUUGCUCAUCCGGGUUUUUACCCGGUGCACUCUUCUAUAGGCAGGCCAGCAUCAGUUUGGGCGGUUGGAUAAAGGUCUCUGUCAUGUAACUCUCUUCGGGGAGAACUUAUAGGGGAGACGACAUGCAACCAGCCUGGACUGAGGUCCGCGCAUCUGCUAGGAUGCUGGCGUAAUGGCUGUAAGCGGCCCGUCUUGAAACACGGACCAAGGAGUCUAACAUCUAUGCGAGUGUUUGGGUGUCAAGCCCGAGCGCGUAAUGAAAGUGAACGGAGGUGGGAACCUUUCGGGGUGCACCAUCGACCGAUCCUGAUGUCUUCGGAUGGAUUUGAGUAAGAGCAUAGCUGUUGGGACCCGAAAGAUGGUGAACUAUGCUUGAAUAGGGUGAAGCCAGAGGAAACUCUGGUGGAGGCUCGCAGCGGUUCUGACGUGCAAAUCGAUCGUCAAAUUUGGGCAUAGGGGCGAAAGACUAAUCGAACUAUCUAGUAGCUGGUUCCUGCCGAAGUUUCCCUUCAGGAAAUGAUAACC
rnacentral:rRNA from 1 species